CGCGUAGGCGGUUCGUUAAGUCCUGUGUGAAAUCCCCCGGCUCAACUGGGGAACUGCACAGGAAACUGGCGGGCUUGAGUCCGGGAGAGGGAAGCGGAAUUCCGGGUGUAGCGGUGAAAUGCGUAGAUAUCCGGAGGAACACCGGUGGCGAAGGCGGCUUCCUGGACCGACACUGACGCUGAGGCGCGAAAGCUAGGGGAGCAAACG
rnacentral:rRNA from 1 species